UAGCUCAGUUGGUAGAGUGCUUGCUUUGCAUGCAUAAGGACCUGGGUUCAAUCCCCAG
rnacentral:tRNA from 1 species